rnacentral:lncRNA from 1 species
CCAUCCCAUGGUAUAUGGAAUUCCGGGCCAGGGAUCAGAUCCAACCACAGUUGAGACCUACGCUGCAGGUUCCUUAAGCCACUGUGCCAGGCUGGGGAUCAGACACGCUGCUGAUCCUGCUGUGCCACAGCAGGAACUCCUAAAGGUAUUUCUUCGCUUUAAAACUAUAAUUUCCUUAUGAAUUUUGAUAGUUGUUACCACUGCUAAAUUAUUCGGCUUUUUGUGAGAAAGCUGCAAGUUGAGAAGUGUACAAUUUUACAACUGUAACCCUCUUGCUCAUUAUCACCUUUCGAGACAUGAUCCAUCAAGAUUUGAGGUCUGUUAAGAGUCACCCAAUUAAUCAGCUUCCAAAUUCCAAUCUGACUCUGCUGUACUGUAUAUCCUGUGAAUGGCUCUUAUUGUUGAACCCUUUAUUCAGUUUGUCAACUGAGAGGGUGCAUUAUUCAGUGGGUUGGCCACCAGGGGAAAAAUAUCAUUGUAUAGAAGGUCAGAACGAAGGGUAUCGCCCAGCCAAGCAGGUGCACUGACGCAUCUCUUCAAGAGGUCACCAGCCACCUCUUACUGCCACAUACCUUUGCUUGGUGUUGUUAACACAAUGCAGUAUUAUCUAGGGUGUGACUAUGGCUGAGGAACUCUUUUCUCAGUUCCUAAAAAUACAACGGAGACUUUCAGUACUUAUCUCAUUGGCUCUCCCCAGCAAUUAACACUACGGACCAGCCUUUCCCUCUUCCAAUGCUCCUUGGCAUCUUAGAUGGGUAUUUUCUCCUCUCCUUCCCUGUCUCUGGCAAACCCAUGGACUGAGCACCUAUGAUGUGCCCGACACCAUGCAGAGUCCAAGGUCUCUGCCCUCAAGAACCUUUUCAUUGAGGAAAGGAGCAGCCCUAUAACAAACUAGUUAUUGCAACUCUGUGCAGAGGUGACAUAAAAAGCCACACAGUCAGCUCUUCCUGGUGGAGAGGUGAAUGGGAAGGGAAGGGUUUUCAGGGGAAAAGGACACAGUGCAUGAGGAAGGCGAAGGGACCAGUGCAGAGGCAUGAAGAUGUGUCAUCACACCAGAUGUCCACAAAAGGUCAAGGACAGUAAUC